rnacentral:rRNA from 1 species
UACGUAGGGUGCGAGCGUUAAUCGGAUUUACUGGGCGUAAAGAGCGCGCAGGCGGCUGGUCAAGUCCGAUGUGAAAUCUCCCGGCUCAACUGGGAAACUGCAUCGGAAACUGAUCGGCUUGAAGGUGGGAGAGGGUAGUGGAAUUCCCGGUGUAGUGGUGAAAUGCGUAGAUAUCGGGAGGAACACCGGUGGCGAAGGCGGCUCGCUGGGCCAUUCCUGACGCUGAGACGCGAAAGCUAGGGGAGCGAACAGG